GAUGAACGCUGGCGGCGUGCUUAACACAUGCAAGUCGAACGGGAAACCUUUUAUUGAAGCUUCGGCAGAUUUAGCUGGUUUCUAGUGGCGGACGGGUGAGUAACGCGUGGGUAACCUGCCUUAUACAGGGGGAUAACAGUCAGAAAUGGCUGCUAAUACCGCAUAAGCGCACAGAGCUGCAUGGCUCAGUGUGAAAAACUCCGGUGGUAUAAGAUGGACCCGCGUUGGAUUAGCUGGUUGGUGGGGUAACGGCCCACCAAGGCGACGAUCCAUAGCCGGCCUGAGAGGGUGAACGGCCACAUUGGGACUGAGACACGGCCCAGACUCCUACGGGAGGCAGCAGUGGGGAAUAUUGCACAAUGGGGUAAACCCUGAUGCAGCGACGCCGCGUGAAGGAAGAAGUAUCUCGGUAUGUAAACUUCUAUCAGCAGAGAAGAUAAUGACGGUACCUGACGAAGAAGCCCCGGCUAACUACGUG
rnacentral:rRNA from 1 species